UCGCACCGAGACACUCCCUCCCCGCCUCUCCCCUCCCCUCCCCUCCCCCUCCCGCGAGGCGCGGCGUCGGUGGCGUAGCAGGCCCUGCGGUGCGCCAAUGUCUUUUAUUCAAAACGAUAAUUACCGCACACCUACUGUGUGCCAAGCAGGAGGCUAGGUGCUGGGGGAAUAGUUCACGAAACAGACGUUUCUGCCCUUCCUAAAGAUUGCAAACUUAAAAAAAAAACAAAAACAAAAACAAAAGAAAAGGGAUCCCAUAGCAGAAAAUGCUUUGAAUGAAACAGCCGUAUGGGGGAGUGGGAAGGUGCCCGGUGCUCUGUGGAAGCUGGAGCUUCUCUGUGGGGUGCCCCCUGGUCUGAGAUCUGAAGGCGGAGGAGCCAGCCUUGGGACUAUGACAACAGCCUUUACCAAAGAUGUGCUGUGUGCUGAUCACCUUAAAUCCUCACUCUCACGUUAACCCUGUGACAGGGACAUUACUAUUUUCCCCAUUUUUCAGAUAAAUGGGCACAGGUAGGUUCAGUGGCUUGCCAAAGGUCACACAGCUUUAGCAGGGCUGUGCCUUGAACACAGGCACCUGGCUCCAGAGAAGCCAAGAGUGAAGACUCAAGGAGGGGACCAGGGAUUCCUUUCCUCAACUGCUGGGUCACCAGACGUGUGAAGGUUUUUCCCCCACGACAAGCAAUUCUGUGACACUAGCUGCAUGUUCUACAAUUUAACUCAAUUUUGACACUACCCGCUGCCCACAUAGAUGCCAAUUGCCACAGAGGAGGUCUCCAGGUUCCCCACAACUUCUGUCUGACUUGGCUAAAAUUUGGAGGUUCCCAUGACACCCCUCUCGGAUUCGAUUUACUUGCUAGAGCAGCUCGCAGAACUCGGAAACACUCGUGUUUACCAGUCUACUGAAGGACGUGAUAAAGGAUUGACAGCUGGAUGGAGAGACACAGAGAGUGAGGUCUGGGAGGGUCCCGAGUACAGAAGCUUCUGUCCCCGCAGAGUUGGGUGCAUCACCAUUUUGGUGUGUGGAUGUGUCACCCACCUGGAAGCAUUCUGAAGCCCUACUAUUGGGAUUUUUAUGGAGGCUUUUUUCACGCAGGUAUGAUCACUUACUAACUCCGUUUUCCUCUGGAGAAGUGUGGGGAGGCAGAGCUCAAAGUCCUAAACUUCUAAUGAUGGCUCGGUCUUUCUGGUGACCAGCCUGCAUCCAGGAGCCCACCGAGUCACCUCCUUAGGACAAAAGAUGGGCCUAGUGUUAUCACUUGGGCGAUUACAAGGGUUUCAGGAGCUCUGUGCCAGGAACUGGGGGCAGAGACCGAUCUAUGUAUUUUCUGUUAUCUCAGAGAAGCCAUGAUUCAGUACACUGAGUAAACGAUGUAUUGCUGUUUCUGUUUUUUCCUGCCUGUAAUCGGUUUCCAUAGCUCAGUUCCUCCAAAGAGUUCAAGGUACAGGCCUCAGAACUUGGCACUUGAAAAAUCUACUCUAUGUGUCAGGGCAAAUACAAACUCAUGUAUUCAUUAAUUUAUGACCCACCUUUGUGGGUCCUUACCAUGUGCCAGGCAGAGGGGAAUGUGCGUGCAAACACGGCACCCCGAGCUGAUGGAUUUAAGCGCCGCACGGUGUGGGUGGAUGCAGAAAACAGCCACUGUCUUGUAGACUUCUGAUAAUUACUUCAUUAAAAAUCUCCUUUAAUGUUUAAUAUUUGACAAAGGCCACUGCCGGUGCUGAAACACAUACGUACACACAGCCUGCCCACAUUUCUGAUAUCCCAGAGGAGUGUCUUAUGGAGGAACGGCAGGCUGAGGAGAGGAAGAGAGAGGAGGUGACUCAUUUCCCGCAGGAGGCCCGGGGACGGCUCACGGGAGGGGACACGUGAGCAGGCUCUGAAAGAUGGGCAAAGACGGGACUUCGUACCAUGGCCAUCACGUGCCUCCUGGACGCGGCCCUUCCUGUGUAUCUCCUGAAAAGCUCGGGACAAACCCAGGGAGGACCAACAGGGCCAGAAGAGACUCAGAACUGAAUGGAGCAUAAAACCCGAGUUCAGGGAGCCGCUGUGUGCGACGUUAACGAAUCCGAUACGGGGCCCCGCAUCUCCGUCCCCUGCUGUCAGUAUGGAGACAGAGCCCUGUGUCCUGAGUGUUUAUCCGUGCCCCGCGCAAUGCUCGACUUGAGCACGUCACGGGACUUCACGCAUUCAGCCCUUGCCUCACAGAACCACCUUAUGAGUCAGACUUUUCUCAUCGAAACCAAAGUUUCAACAGUGGAGCACCCAGGGAAGGCACUGGGUUGAGUGCAUGGACGAAGCUGUGUGAGUAACAGUGGCUGAGUGACAUGGACGACGGGAGACAACAGCAAGAUCGGCC